rnacentral:rRNA from 1 species
GGGGGGUAUCAAUAAGUGAUCACCCCCCCCCUGAGAGGGGGGGGUAUUCACUACGGGUAACCCCCCCUCCCCUGACGGGGGGGAUUCGUGUAAUGAUUAUAACCCACCGUCUUUUUGAGGGGGGAUAACGCGUGAGAAUCUGGCUUCAGGUCUGGGACAACAGUUGGAAACGACUGCUAAUACCGGAUGUGCCGAAAGGUGAAAGGCUUGCUGCCUGAAGAUGAGCUCGCGUCUGAUUAGCUAGUAGGUGUGGUAAAAGCGCACCUAGGCGACGAUCAGUAGCUGGUCUGAGAGGAUGAUCAGCCACACUGGGACUGAGACACGGCCCAGACUCCUACGGGAGGCAGCAGUGGGGAAUUUUCCGCAAUGGGCGAAAGCCUGACGGAGCAAUACCGCGUGAGGGAGGAAGGCUCUUGGGUUGUAAACCUCUUUUCUCAAGGAAUAAGUACUGAAGGUACUUGAGGAAUCAGCAUCGGCUAACUCCGUGCCAGCAGCCGCGGUAAUACGGAGGAUGCAAGCGUUAUCCGGAAUGAUUGGGCGUAAAGCGUCCGCAGGUGGCUGUAAGUCUGCUGUUAAAGAGUGAGGCUAACCUCAUAAAAGCAGUGGAAACUACAAGCUAGAGUGCGUUCGGGGCAGAGGAAUUCCUGGUGUAGCGGUGAAAUGCGUAGAGAUCAGGAAGAACACCGG